UCAUUUCUCCUCUCUCUCUCUCUCUCAAGUGAAGUCGGCAGGAUUUUCAAUGUCUCCUUCCAGGAGGCAGAUCCGCCAUUUUUCUCAAUUCUUCAACCUUCUCAUUUCUUCUACUCUCCUUUUUCUCUCUCCUCUUUUGCCGUCUUCAAAUUCUCCACUAUCACUCGUUUUUCCAAGCUUCUUCGUCUCUCACAUUCAUGGAAACAAUCGAAACAUUCUUAUUGUAAUUUAAAUCAAGAUUGUUAGCAGAAUGUCAAACGAACUUUUGAGGGCAAGCAUGCAUUUGAAGGUAUUAAGAGACCCCUCUGUCUAUUUUUGAUGGUCAGAAGAUUUGCUCUCAGUACUUUUGAGAAGCCUUGAUCACCUUUUAAUCAUCUGCAAUUUUGACGAGAUGAUGUUAAAGGCCAUCCUUAUUGAAGAAUAUCAAAUCUAAUGAUAUGCAUGUGAUAUUUUGAUGUCGGAUACCUGUCCAUCUAAGGAGUUGUUUCCUUAUUUAAUCAGAGGACCUCACUUCAUGAGAGCCAUUGCGAGAACUAGAAACUCUUUAGUUUCUCCUUUUCCCCAUCUUAUAGGGAGUCGAAACUUUACUGCACUCUCUUUAUAAGAGAAUUCAGGAGAUCAUAUAGAGUAUGUGGUGAAUCGUGACUCAUUUUGCCCUUCAUCUUACUGGCUGAUAGCUGUUCAAGGAUCAUAGAUCUUGUGAUUUAGGGAACUGUUUUAUUGAUGCAACAGAACUACAGAAGCUAAACUACUAUAGGCAUAUUUCCUACAUGAUCGAAUCAUCCAAGAACCUUAUCCUUCAAAUUGAAGCAAACAAAAAUCUUUCUUCACACUGACAUUCAACAAUCUUUCUAAAGUGCAGCAGACUGCGGAGUUUCAACGAUCUUUUGGCAUGAUCCUUGGACCAUGGACAUAGAAACAACAUCUCUUGUUCAUAGCCACAUCUAAAACUUUAAUUGGUAACCUAGAGAAGGGUGAGUCAUUAAGUUCCUUUUUCAUUGUAAAGCUGACUACAAAGUUUGCUCGUCCAUUAAUGAGGAUAGUUGGAAUUAAAUCAGGGAAUUGUAAAGGUGUGCUUAGAUGCCUUUUUGGACACGCCCAAGUUGUGAAAUGGCUCAAGGCCUGUUUGGUAAGGAGUUAUAGUUUUGUUAAGAAAGUUAACAUGUCAAUGUUUAUUAUGGUGAUCGAACUUUGUCUCUGAGCAUGUGUUUUUCUUCAUAUAAUUUCAUUGUCACUUCCUCAGUGAUGACGGAAUUAUAUGAUGAAACGAUGAUAUUUGGGGAUGGACAAGCAUAACCAUGGCAUUGGCAUAAUGCCGUAAUGGCAUGAGACUCUCUUAACAAGAUUAAUUGCCUAUAAUACAGACUAUAAUACAUAGUUACAUGUGAUGUUUUGCUAACUAUUUAGGAGGAAACGUCAAAUGUGGCAUUUUGAAUCUGCUAGGGAUUAUAAAUUGAUUGAACAGUAAUGCCUAGUUUAUCUAGCAGAGGGUUUCUAAACAGUCGAGUUCAAGUUUAGGGAAAAGCUCUAACUUGUUGGCUAGAGUAGUUAGGAAUUAUUUAUCUUUAGAGAGGUAUAUAUUGUGUGUAAAACUUCUAAAGGAUAAUUUUGAUAAACAUAAUAACUCUAAUGAAUUGUAGUCUUUGUGCUUCCAAUCUACCAUACACAAUAAAAGCUGAAGAACAACUAAGAGAUUCUUCACUAACAAACUAAUUGUCUACUUAGAUUGUCAUGUCAAGUAGGAUUUUAAGCUACUCUAUUUUAGGUAGUUUGUACCCAAAUGAUAGCAAUUAGCUAGUGUCUAUUAACUUUUUGUCAAGCAAAUUAGUUUAGCCAAGCUUUUUCCCAUUUUCAAAUCCAAGUAACUUGAAACUUCAAAAAAUUGAUCACAUUUUCCUAGCUACCACCAUUAUAGUACCAAUCAUCAAAGAGGGAAAAAAAGGGAUUGGCUCAUGCAAAAUGGUCAUAAUCCAUUAUUGAAUGAACAAAUUUCAAAUGUAACUACUCUUUUUGGCCCACUAGGGCCUGUUCUCAUACGUUUAAAUUCAGUUCAACUCAGCUCAGCUCCUAAUUUUCUUCUCUUAUAAAAUAUUCAUUUUAACUCAGUGUAGUUCAGCUCAACUCAGCUGAGUCAGUGGCCCUAAGAUUGCUGCAUACUACAAAAAUAAUUCGUGUGCUACCACAUAAAGGCCUUGUUUGGCAAAUGGCUGUUGGCAGUUGGCUGGUUCACUUAGCUUGUUUGACUAGCUGGAAUGUUUGGCUGUUUAUAAUGGCUUUUGAAAUUGGCUGUUUAAGCUAGCUGUUUAUAAAAGUGUUUGGUAAAUUAAU